AAUACGUGGUGGAUUUCACAUUUGGGGAGAGUAUGGUCCAUGAUCCGGUCACAGAGAGGGAUUAUUUCCCGCUGAUCAUGAGUCCCAAGGAUUUUGGCGAUGGAUUUACCAUGACUGGGGGGAGAUUUUACCCCGCAGAUGAAGAGGGCGUGCAUUGCACUGCAGUAAUACUUGAUGAUGCCGAGGAUGCUGAGAGGAACCAGUAUAUGUUUUCCAAUGUGCAGAAGUUGGGCACAAGAGGAUUGAAAACAUGAACUCGUGUUUCUUCUUGUUCUAGGUGUCGAAGGAUGGUGAGGUGCUUGAAUCUACAGAUUGGAGGUCAAACCAGAUUGGCGUAAAGCCCGGUGGUGUUGGAAGGAGACCCAGGGCGCAAUCAAUGCAAGGAUCCAGGAUGCUAUUGCACGAGGCGCUAAAGUGUACGGAUAGUCCUUCUUCCCAUUGCUUUAUUCAUUCAAUUACUUAUCCCAUCAUGCACUAAACCAACUGUUUUAUUGGCAAUUGACACUCUAUGAACUAAAAAAUUAUAGCC